GCGCGAGUGGCGAAAUUGGUAGACGCGCUACUCUCAGGAGGUAGUGCCUAUUACUGGCGUGUCAGUUCGAGUCUGAUCUCGCGCA
rfam:Bacteroidales bacterium WCE2008 genome assembly, contig: Ga0070252_12